ACGGCUACCCCCGGCUCAACCUAGCCCAGACUGUCCGAGGGGCCCGCGCGCGGCCGCAGCCCCCGCCCCCAGCCCGCAGUGCUCUUACCUCCACACCUGCCCCAUCUGCAGCAGGUGGAUGACCGACUGCCAGAUCCACACGGAGAGGCGGCACAGACGCUGCGCCCCCGGGGUGGCCGAGCCCCCCGCACCCGGGCCGCCGCGGGCCGCGCCGUGGCCGUAGCCGGCCCCCAUCAUUGGGGGUCCCCGGCUGCUGAGCCCCUCCACGGCGCCUAGCCCGCCGCCCGUGUAGUCCUGCACGAACCAGCGGAAGCUCAGGCUCUGCACCAGCAGCGACGGCACCAGCACGAAGAACAGGGUCAGCCCGAAGCAGCCGUAGUCCCCCUUGCGGUAGUAGUCGAGGGCCAGCCACAGUGGUACCAAAAGGCUCCUUCAUAAUCAGUUCUACACAAUGAGUUCUCCUGAAUCACACCCUAUGCCGUCUACCCACUGAUGCCAACCCCAAAGGACAUCAUAUCACAGCACUAGUUAUAGGAAGGACCCUGUUACAUUGCAGUAACGGCACACAUCUAGGACACAUCGUGUAAAUCCUAGUAUGAGGAUGGGCCUCAGCACGACACCACUGAUGGGCUUUUGAGCCUCUGGAAGCUUCUUAACUCUAAGUGUGCAUCAUCCUUAUGCUUCUAUUU
ensembl:antisense Gm15918 predicted gene 15918